rnacentral:rRNA from 1 species
AUUCGAUUAGAGUUUGAUCCUGGCUCAGGAUUAACGCUAGCGGCAGGCUUAAUACAUGCAAGUUGAACGGUAACAGGUCCAGCAAUGGAUGCUGACGAGUGGCGCACGGGUGCGUAACACGUAUGCAACCUACCCUAUACAGGGACAUAACCUUUAGAAAUGGGGGCUAAUAUUCCAUGGUGUUAUUUGGUGGCAUCACUGAAUAACUAAAGAUUUACAUUGGUAUAGGAUGGGCAUGCGUCCCAUUAGUUAGUUGGUAGGGUAACGGCCUACCAAGGCGAUGAUGGGUAGGGGUCCUGAGAGGGUUAUCCCCCACACUGGUACUGAGACACGGACCAGACUCCUACGGGAGGCAGCAGUAAGGAAUAUUGGGCAAUGGGCGCAAGCCUGACCCAGCCAUGCCGCGUGCAGGAAGACGGCCUUAUGGGUUGUAAACUGCUUUUAUGCGAGGCUAAAACCCCCAACGAGCUUGGGGCUUGCAGGUAUCGCAUGAAUAAGCAUCGGCUAACUCCGUGCCAGCAGCCGCGGUAAUACGGAGGAUGCGAGCGUUAUCCGGAUUUAUUGGGUUUAAAGGGUGCGCAGGCGGAAUAUUAAGUCAGUGGUGAAAUACUCCGGCUCAACCGGGGUGCUGCCGUUGAUACUGGUAUUCUUGAGAGUAAUGGACGUGGGCGGAAUGUGUCAUGUAGCGGUGAAAUGCAUAGAGAUGACACAGAACACCGAUAGCGAAGGCAGCUCACGAUAUUAUAUCUGACGCUCAUGCACGAGAGCGUGGGGAUCAAACAGGAUUAGAUACCCUGGUAGUCCACGCCGUAAACGAUGAUCACUAGCUGUAGGCGAUAUACCGAUCUGUGGCUAAGCGAAAGCGAUAAGUGAUCCACCUGGGGAGUACGUUGGCAACGAUGAAACUCAAAGGAAUUGACGGGGGCCCGCACAAGCGGAGGAGCAUGUGGUUUAAUUCGAUGAUACGCCGAGGAACCUUACCUGGACUUGAACGUAUGGUGCAUAUCUGAGAGAUCAGAUUUUCCAGCAAUGGACUUCAUACGAGGUGCUGCAUGGCUGUCGUCAGCUCGUGCCG